UCUGGUUACACGCGCGAGCAGCAGCUCCAGGCCUUCCUCCCCCGAUUCUCUUUUUUUACAUUCCCUGAUUCCCUCCCUCCCCCGACUGCUCCAAGCCCGAUCCAAUCGAUGCCCUUCCAUAACCUAGCUGCUAGCUCCCUCCCCCGAUUCAGUCUCCCCUAGAUCCGGCUCCGGCGACCAGGCCGGCCCUCUCCUGCCUCCCUCGCCCCUCGGACCUCGGUCCCCUCCCCUCCGUGCUCCGGCUGGCCCUCUCUGGCUCAGGCUCUCCCUCCCCUGCCGGCCUGCCCUCGCCCAUUCGCCCUCCGGCUUCAGCGGCGGCGCGGCUCCGGCGCUCCGCCAGGCGCCAGUCCGCCUCCGGCCUCCCCUGCUCUCCGGACCCCGGCCCAAGUAGGCGCCCAUCGUGGCAGCGGGCCAGCACCCUUAUGCUCACCUCCGCCCCCGGUCUACUGAAGUGGUGUCGCGUGAACGUCGACUACAUGACACAUUACCAUGCUUGAGCCUAGGGGAAAGCAUCGCGGGAUUGUGCACAGUCCGUGGCCGUUUGAAUGCGGCGGGAGGCGUGUUCAACCAAGCAUGCAGUAGGCGGCUCUCUCUCUCUCGGCGCUGGCGCGCCGCUUCAAUGCCGGCAUCGAGUGGUCGCGUCCGUUCUGCGUCAGCGUCAAUGCGGAGCAGCCGCUCUCGAGCGGCAUGAAUGCGGGCAACUGGCGCCUUACAAUAAGCGCGCGUGGGCGAGGGAGGUUUUUUUGGCGGGCCAGGGCAGUCGGACGCGGACGGGGCAGUGGUACGAACGCCUGCAAAGCCCCCCCUAGUUUGUCUCCGGUUUUACCGGAAAAAAUACAUCUGAACAGCGAGCGAACGAUACAUGCCCGCGUUGGAUAGCACAACACGUCUGGGCCACGCGUUCCAGACGGGUGCAUGUGGUUUGAGGGCCAGCAUUUGAGAUGUUGCAGCCCACAGAUAGUUAAUUGUCAUGGUAGAUUCCUAACACUUUUUUCUAAGUUUGCAAAAUUAUAAUUUUGCAUAAUGUUAACAUGAAAAUUUUAUGAUUUUU